GGGAAUAUAACUCAGUUGGUAGAGUGUUUGUCUGGUAUGCAUAAAGCUUUAGAUUUUACUCCUA
rnacentral:tRNA from 1 species